UGGAAGGAAUGGAUGGCUACUUGCCAAAUAUAAUCCAGGAUGAUUAUCAUGCAUCCUUAGAUGCCUGCUCAUUGUCAGCUUGCAUGUGUACAUGGGACAAAGUCAGUUUUUAUCUGACAAAGGUAUCGCAGAGUGCUUUAUUUCUGAUACAGCUUCAGCGCACACGGAGAUUGGGCGAAACAGCACGCCCCCUCUCUGCUGGCCACGCCUCUCUGCAGCCUCGGGCCUCACCUCCGGACCACUGGUAACGGCAAAGGAAAAAACGAGGAGCAUGAUGAGCAUUACGCCAGCAUGGCGAAGAGGUACAAAGCAAGGAGCUGGCGGCGGCUCCAUCAUGCGCCGACGAAGCCUGCCAGGAGGAUGAGACCGCCCAGGAUGGACGGGCCACGCGCGUGUAAGCGAACCAGAUCCCCGAGGCUUACGGGGACGGCGCACAUGCCAGUGUCCGGUAUGUUGUUUCUCACGGCUCACCCCACCCAUGGCUGGAUGCUCAAGCUGUGGCGCCGCUGCUUUCCAUAUGCUUGUGUUGUUUCUGUGUCUGCUGUGGGUUCAGCACGGAUCUGAAGGCUUCCUUCAUGGAUGAUGGAUGAUGUGAUGCUGAAUGCGAGGCUAACAUACAACCUGAGCUUCGUCAUGGAAGGAAUGGACGGCUACUUGCGAAAUAUAAUCCAGGAUGAUUACCAUGCCUAAUCAGAUGCCUGCUCAUUGUCAGCUUGCGUGUGUACAUGGGACAAAGUCAGUUUUUAUCUGACAAAGGUAUCGCAGAGUGCUUUAUUUCUGAUACAGCUUCAGCGCACACGGAGAUUGGGCGAAACAGCACGCCCCCCCUAUGCUGGCCACGCCUCUCCGCAGCCUCGAGCCUCACCUCUGGACCGCUGGUGACGACAAAGGCAAAAACGAGGAUCGUGAUGAGCAUUGCGCCGGCAUGGUGAAGAGGUACAAAGCAAGGAGCUGGCGGCGGCUCCAUCAUGUGCCGACGAAGCCUUCCAGGAGGAUGAGACCGCCCAGGAUGGACGGGCCACGCGCGCGUAAGCGAACCAGAUCCCCGAGGCUUACGGGGACGGCGCACAUGCCAGUGUCCGGCUUCCUUCAUGGAUGAUGGAUGAUGUGAUGUUGAAUGCGAGGCUAAGACACAACCUGAGCUUCGUCAUGGAAGGAAUGGACGGCUACUUGCCAAAAAUAAUCCAGGAUGAUUAUCAUGCAUCCUCAGAUGCCUGCUCAUUGUCAGCUUGCAUGUGUACAUGGGACAAAGUCAGUAUUUAUCUGACAAAGGUAUUGCAGAGUGCUUUAUUUCUUAUACAGCUUUAGCGCACACGGAGAUUGGGCCAAACAGCAUGCCCCCCUCUGCUGGCCACGCCUCUCCACAGCCUCGGGCCUCACCUCCGGACCGCUAGUGACGGCAAAGGCAAAAACGAGGAGCGUGAUGAGCAUUUCGCCGGCAUGGUGAAGAGGUACAAAGCAAGGAGCUGGCGGCGGCUCCAUCAUGCGCCGACGAAGCCUGCCAGGAGGAUGAGACCGCCCAGGAUGGACGGGCCACGCGCGCGUAAGCGAACCAGAUCCCCGAGGCUUACGGGGACGGCGCACAUGCCAGUGUCCGUGCGGAUCUGAAGGCUUCCUUCAUGGAUGAUGGAUGAUGUGAUGCUGCAUGCGAGGCUAAGAUACAACCUGAGUCUUCCAUUUUGUAGAGACAUGAGCUACUAAUAACAUUGCCUUCUUGGAGUAACAUUGCCUUCCCUGACUCCGGAAUUGGCUAAAUGCCAAUACAACCCAAGUUAGUUUCCAUAUAAGUGAUUCAAGAUUAAAACCUUGAUACACCUUUCGGAAGACUUAGAG